ensembl:lncRNA
CUGCCCUUAAAAAAAAGAAAAAAAAGAAAAAUGGGGAUAAAUCAUUUUUAACAAAUUGCCACUUCUUUUGUUUUUUCCUUUCCUGAGAGUCAAUUUCUCAUUUUAAAUAAUUGCCACUUCUUUUGUUUUUCCUUCCCUGAGAGUCAAUUUCUGGGUGGGCUUGAAUGUUCCAUAGCCUGAUAUUAGAGGCUCAUGGUAGCCCAUGGUCAGCUCUUUCCUAGAGAAACAGUUCAACUCUUAGGGUGUCAAAAAGGCAGCUCCUUGUGUUAGCAUCUGUUACCUGAUUGACCUACCUUGCAAGGCAGUUUGGGUUUGUAGAGGCUUGAAAACAAUAUGCUCUUAUAUUUCUGUUGUGUUUGACUAGCUAAUGUCUCUUAGCAUGGAUGAAUGUGGGGGGAGAACACUUAGACUGCUUUUCAUACAGGACUAACUUGCUCUCAGAAUGAGAUUAUCCACUGUAAAAUAUAUACUCUUUUCGGGUUGUAAGACUAGAAACAUUUUGCAGCCGAGUUUCUUUUUGCCCUGACUUCAGCCAGCAGCUGGCUGGUAACCUUGCUGGGGACAUGUUCUUCCAGAGGACUGGUCCUGCCUGGGAGGCCUCAGGCCCUGGGAUGUUCUCAGGGCCUCUGAAAUCUACCUGCAAGUCAGCCGCUUGCCUUAUUUAUUUAUUUAUUUAUUUAUUUAUUUAUUUAUUUAUUUUUUACAGCUCAACUUGGCAGCACAUGGAAGUUCCUGGGCCAGGGGUCGAAUCUGAGCUGCAGUUAAGGCCUAUGCCCCAGCCAUGGCAACAUCAGAUCUGAGCCACAUCUGUGACUUACACCACAGCUUGCAUCAACCCUAGGUUCUUAACCCACUGAUUGAGGCCAGGGAUUGAAACCACAUCCUUGUGGAGACUAUGUAGGGGUCCUUAACCCAUUGAGCCACAAUGGAAACUCCACAGAGGGGCUCUUUUAAUGUAUAUGAUAUGAAUUCUUUUACAUGCCUAGUUAAACUCAUAGCAUUUUUUAAAAAUCACCUGAUAAUAAAAAGGUAAAUAGGGAGUUCCCGUUGUGGCUUAGUUGCAAACCCGACUAGUAUCUAUGAGGAUGUGGGUUCAAUCCCUAGCCUCGAUCAGUGGGUGAAAGGAUCCGUCAUUGCUGUGAGCUGUGGUGUAGACCUGCAGCUACAGCUCUGAUUUGACCUCUAGCCUGGGAACUUCCAUAUGCUGCAAGUAUGGCCCUAAGAAAAAGCAAAAAAAAAAAAAAAAAAAAAAGAUAAUCAGUACCAUAAUGUGUGGGACGGGGUGGUGACUCCGGCUCAAGACAUGGGAUUUGGUGCUGGGCAGGACAGACCCAAGGAGAUGGCAGUAGUAUGCUGCCAAGAAAAGUGUUCUCCAGAAAUUUCCACUUAUUAACUUUGGUCACUGUUUGUUUGGCACUCCCAAUGAACACUAUGAAACUACUUUUCAUUCUUCCAUAAUGGGUAUAACUUCCCAUCAUCAACUUCUUUUUCUUUUUCUUUUUUUUGUCUUUUUGCCUUUUCUAGGGCCACUCUGAGGCAUAUGGAGGUUCCCAGGCUAGGGGUCCAAUCGGAGCUACAGCUGCCAGCCUACACCACAGCCACAGCAGUGCCAGAUCUGAGCCUUGUCUGUGACCUACACCACAGCUCAGGGCAACGCCGGAUCUUUAACCCACUGAGCACAGCCAGGGAUCGAACUUGAAACCUCAUGGUUCCUAUUCGGAUUUGUUUCCACUGCUCCAUGGUGGGAACCCCUCAACUUCUUAUUUAAAAGUAUUUAUUUUAUGGAACAUUGAAAAGGAGGUAAUUUACACAUGUGUGAUUUAUUAGGCCUUUGUGGGAUGUUCUAACUGAAAACCUAUGAAUGAGGCCAAAAGACAGGAGUCUUGGGAGGGGUGGGGGCUUUAUUUAAUUAAUUUAAACAUUUUAAUUGGUCUGUGUUGCUUUUCUUGUUACCUUUUAGAAGGAGAAAAAGUCAGUUUUAAAACUAGAGUUGGGUUAUUACACGUAUUUGUUUCCGCACAUAUUAUCUAGAUGAUUAUUUCGUCCUAGGCACCAUGCCACCUGGAGAAAUAGUGCUCUUAUUCUUGGGAGGUUCACCUUUUGAAAGGGCAGACACUUGUGAAAGAUGAGGCGAUAUCAAGAGUGUUAUUUCCCAAGGGCCGAGGGUGUGCCAGAUUCUGGACCAGGUCCAUCCUGUGAAUGAUCUCAUUUCCUCCUCACACAAGCCAAGGGAGAGGUCCUGUUGUGACCCUGAUUUUACAGAUGAGGCAGUUGAAGCACAGAGACUUUAAGUAACUUGUCCAGGCUUGCACAGCAGGUAGGUGGCAAGGCUUGCAUCUGAAGCCAGGCAGUUGAAUCCCAAAAUGCAUGUUCGCAACUGCCCCGUCACUAAACCACACUGUGAAUGGAGCAUAGAGAAGAACUGAGGCUUCUGUCUGCGAGCAUCUAGGGCGUGUUCAAAGAGGAGUUGAUGUUUAGCUCAACUAGGAAGGAUUAGGGGGCCCGUGUUGGAUAAAUACGUGAGAUGACUUCUUCUGCGAAUGGCAGGAGAAGAAAAGUAUCACAGGGUCUUUUAUUCGCACCUAGAGAUACAUCGCAUUUUAGAGGACCCUCGUUAUUUUUCAUCUUCUUGAUGUCACUCCAGGGUCACGUGGUUAAUGUUGGUGAGGAUGGCACUCCUGUCUCACAGAGCAAGAUGUUGCUUCUCAUAUGCAUCAUUCCAGGCCUAAAGUAAACAUUUAACACUAAAAAGAAUAAAAAAUUCAACACCAAAAAGAAUAUUCAGUGAGUAUCAUGGUGCAGUGGAAACAAAUCCAACUAGGAACUAUGAGGUUGUGGGUUCGAUCCCUGACCUCACUCAGAGGGUUAAGGAUCUGGUGUUGCCGUGAGCUGUGGUGUUGGCUGGCAGCUGUAGCACUCAUUAGACCCCUAGCCUGGGAACCUCCAUAUGCUGCUGGUGC